AUUGAACGCUGGCGGCAUGCCUUACACAUGCAAGUCGAACGGUAACGCGGGGCAAUCUGGCGACGAGUGGCGAACGGGUGAGUAAUGCAUCGGAACGUGCCCAGUAGGGGGGGAUAGCCCGGCGAAAGCCGGAUUAAUACGGCAUACGACCGACGGGUGCAAGCGGGGGUCCGUAAGGCCUCGCGCGAUUGGAGCGGCCGGUGUCAGAUCAGGCUGUUGGUGGGGUAAAGGCCGACCAAGCCGACGACCUGUAGCUGGUCUGAGAGGACGACCAGCCCCACUGGGACUGAGACACGGCCCAGACUCCUACGGGAGGCAGCAGUGGGGAAUUUUGGACAAUGGGGGCAACCCUGAUCCAGCCAUGCCGCGUGCGGGAAGAAGGCCUUCGGGUUGUAAACCGCUUUUGUCAGGGAAGAAACGCUCUGGGCUAAUACCCUGGGGUAAUGACGGCACCUGAAGAAUAAGCACCGGCUAACUACGUGCCAGCAGCCGCCGUAA
rnacentral:rRNA from 1 species